AUGGCAAACUGCUCAGUAACACAUGAUCAACUUACCCUAUAGAGAAAAAUACUCUCGGGAAACUGAGGAUAAUGUUUCAUAGUUGAAAAGGCUUGGAAAAGUUUUUCAAUGAAAGGGAUAGGAAAAAUGGUUUUUUACUGCUAUAGGAUAGGAUCGUGGUCGAUUAUGGUUGUUGGUGAGGUAACGGCUCACCAAGCCGAUAAUCGAUAGGGGCCGUGAGAGCGGGAGCCCCGAGAUGGGUACUGAGACAACGACCCAGGCCUUACGAGGCGCAGCAGGCGCGAAACCUCCGCAAUACACGAAAGUGUGACGGGGUUACCCAAAGUGUUCUUUAUAGAACUGUGGUAGGUGAGUAAUAUCCCCUACUAGAAAGGAGAGGGCAAGGCUGGUGCCAGCCGCCGCGGUAAAACCAGCUCUUCAAGUGGUCGGGAUAAUUAUUGGGCUUAAAGUGUCCGUAGCCGGUUUAGUAAGUUCCUGGUAAAAUCGGGUAGCUUAACUAUCCGCAUGCUAGGAAUACUGCUAUACUAGAGGGCGGGAGAGGUCUGAGGUACUGCAGGGGUAGGGGUGAAAUCUUAUAAUCCUUGUAGGACCACCAGUGGCGAAGGCGUCAGACUGGAACGCGCCUGACGGUGAGGGACGAAAGCCAGGGGAGCGAACCGGAUUAGAUACCCGGGUAGUCCUGGCCGUAAACGAUGCAUACUAGGUGAUGGUACGGCCAUGAGCCGUGUCAGUGCCGUAGGGAAACCGUUAAGUGUGCCGCCUGGGAAGUACGGUCGCAAGGCUAAAACUUAAAGGAAUUGGCGGGGGAGCACCACAAGGGGUGAAGCCUGCGGUUCAAUUGGACCCAACGCCGGGAAACUUACCAGGGGAGACAGCAGAAUGACGGUCAGGUUGACGACCUUGCCUAACGAGCUGAGAGGAGGUGCAUGGCCGUCGCCAGUUCGUGCUGUGAGGUAUCCUGUUAAGUCAGGCAACGAACGAGAUCCGCGCCUUUAUUUGCCAGCAAGAAGUCACGACUUCGUUGGGAACACUAAAGGGACCGCCGUCGAUAAGACGGAGGAAGGAGCGGGCAAAGGCAGGUCAGUAUGCCCCGAAACCCCUGGGCUACACGCGGGCUGCAAUGGUAUGAACAAUGGGCUGUAACUCCGAAAGGAGAAACCAAUCCCGAAAUCAUAUCUCAGUUGGGAUUGUCGGCUGUAACCCGCCGACAUGAACGUGGAAUCCCUAGUAAUCGUGUGUCAUCAUCGCACGGUGAAUACGUCUCUGCUCCUUGCACACACCGCCCGUCGCUCCAUCCGAGUGUACUAAAAAUGAGGUGUGGUCAGUUUGGUUAUAUCGAGUUUCUAGUAUGCGAGGAGGGAGAAGUCGUAACAAGGUAGCCGUAGGGGAUCCUGCGGCUGGAUCACCUC
rnacentral:rRNA from 1 species